GAUGAAGAACGUAGCGAAAUGCGAUAAGUAAUGCGAAUUGCAGAAUUCCGUGAGUCAUCGAGUCUUUGAACGCACAUUGCGCCCCCUGGUAUUCCGGGGGGCAUGCCUGUCCGAGCGUCAUUGCUGCCCUCAAGCACGGCUUGUGUGUUGGGCCCCGUCCUCCGAUCCCGGGGGACGGGCCCGAAAGGCAGCGGCGGCACCGCGUCCGGUCCUCGAGCGUAUGGGGCUUUGUCACCCGCUCUGUAGGCCCGGCCGGCGCUUGCCGAUCAACCCAAAUUUUUAUCCAGGUUGACCUCGGAUCAGGUAGGGAUACCCGCUGAACUUAAGCAUAUCAAUAAGCGGAGGA
rnacentral:misc_RNA from 1 species